rnacentral:lncRNA from 1 species
CUGGACAGGGAGAAACCCCAGUCAAUUUUGGCGAUUCCACGUACGCUCGUCAUGUGGAGCCACCCGGGCUGCCGCGUUGGGGGGUGGGGAAUCAUUUCGAGCUCGUUUUCGGAACAGUUGUCGAAUAAAAAUCAUGGAUUUCGCAUUUUCGUUUAAUUUUGAAAAAAAAUACCGGCACACAGUAAUAUGAUAUCAUCCAUUUCGUGUGGCUAAAAAACAUGGCAUAUUCUCG